rnacentral:rRNA from 1 species
UGGGCAACCUGCCCCGGACACCGGGAUAACCCAGGGAAACCUGAGCUAAUACCGGAUACUCCGAUCGGACCGCAUGAUCUGAUCGGGAAAGCUCCGACGGUCCGGGAUGGGCCCGCGGCCUAUCAGCUUGUUGGUGGGGUAAUGGCCUACCAAGGCGUCGACGGGUAGCUGGUCUGAGAGGACGGCCAGCCACACUGGGACUGAGACACGGCCCAGACUCCUACGGGAG